rnacentral:tRNA from 1 species
CCUUCGAUAGCUCAGUUGGUAGAGCGGUGGACUGUAGUUGGUUGACAAGAAAUGAGUAAUAGUAAUCCAUAGGUCGCUGGUUCAAAUCCGGCUCGAAGGA